UACGGGGGGGACAAGCGUUGUUCGGAAUUACUGGGCGUAAAGGGUUCGUAGGUGGCCAACUAAGUCAGACGUGAAAUCCCUCAGCUUAACUGGGGAACUGCGUCUGAUACUGGUUGGCUCGAGUGCAGGAGAGGAACGCGGAAUUCCAGGUGUAGCGGUGAAAUGCGUAGAUAUCUGGAGGAACACCGGUGGCGAAGGCGGCGUUCUGGACUGCAACUGACACUGAGGAACGAAAGCCAGGGGAGCAAACGGG
rnacentral:rRNA from 1 species